UGCAUUCAAUACUGUAAGUUGCUCUGGAUAAGAGUGUCUGCUAAAUGACUAAAA
rfam:Salmo salar isolate Sally breed double haploid chromosome ssa10, whole genome shotgun sequence.